rnacentral:rRNA from 1 species
UACGUAGGUGGCAAGCGUUAUCCGGAAUUACUGGGCGUAAAGCGUGCGUAGGCGGUUCGUUAAGUCUGAUGUGAAAGCCCUGGGCUCAACCUGGGAAUGGCAUUGGAUACUGGCGGGCUAGAGUGCGGUAGAGGGGUGCGGAAUUCCCGGUGUAGCGGUGAAAUGCGUAGAGAUCGGGAGGAACAUCUGUGGCGAAGGCGGCACCCUGGACCAGCACUGACGCUGAGGCACGAAAGCGUGGGGAGCAAACAGG